rnacentral:rRNA from 1 species
UAAAUCCUACGGGGGGCAGCAGUGAGGAAUAUUGGUCAAUGGGCGGUAGCCUGAACCAGCCAAGUAGCGUGAAGGAUGAAGGUUCUAUGGAUUGUAAACUUCUUUUAUAAAGGAAUAAAGUGAGGCACGUGUGCCUUUUUGCAUGUACUUUAUGAAUAAGGAUCGGCUAACUCCGUGCCAGCAGCCGCGGUAAUACGUAGGAUCCGAGCGUUAUCCGGAUUUAUUGGGUUUA